CCUACGGGAGGCAGCAGUGAGGAAUAUUGGUCAAUGGACGGAAGUCUGAACCAGCCAUGCCGCGUGCAGGAAGACGGCUCUAUGAGUUGUAAACUGCUUUUGCACAAGGGUAAACCUGAAUACGUGUAUUCAGCUCAAAGUACUGUACGGAUAAGGCUCGGCUAAUUCCGUGCCAGCAGCCGCGGUAAUACGGAGGAUCCAAGCGUUAUACGGAUGUAAUGGGUUUAAAGGGUGCGUAGGCGGAUUGAUAAGUUAAAAGUGAAAUGUCCGAGCUUAACUCGGGAACUGCCUCGAAUACUGUUGAUGUCGAGAGUAGAUGCGGUAGGAGGAAUGUAUGGUGUAGCGGUGGAAUGCUUAGAGAGCAUACGGAACAC
rnacentral:rRNA from 1 species